UUAUGUCAACUUAGAACUGAUGGAGCGUACCUCGUAAUAAUUAAUACUAAAUAAAUAGUUGAGCGGCCAUAACUUUUUGAUCUAAUUAACGUUACUGCGCAAUGCAAUAGCACAUUUAAUUUUAUUACAUUAUUUCGGGUGAACUCAGCCAAAACGUACCGGCAAUUAAUACUACAGAGCUAUAAAUUGUAAUGAAACAUUUCAAUUGCCACUACAAACCGUUCACAAGUAAUUUAUUCAUAUAAUAUCCAGAAUAGCAGUUUUACCCGCGAAGCUCUGGAAAUGUAAUAGCGUCUCAUAUUUAACGUACUUAGCAUAAAAGAAAAAGACUAUAAAUGCUACAUAAAUUGCCUAAAGCAAUGUUGUUACGUAUCAAGACAAGGCGAACAAUUUAAACAAUCAUCCACUCAGUUGAUCACGAAAAUUGUUCCGAGCUACGAUCGCGCGGCGCCCGCGAGACCCAUUCCACUGAAUUUGUCAAUUUAUAAAUGUCUACUCGAGUUAAAGGGUUCUUUUUAUGAGGACCCCGUUUGUUUUGCUGUGCUUAAUUACCAUAGUGUUAUGCCGAGAAAUGGUGGACGGUGUGCAAAUAAAUAAAACAUAUAGGUAAGGUUGUUUUAAAAUAAAUCUAAGUAAAAAAGUUACUCUUGUCCAAACUCCAAAGUUGGAAAUGGCUAACUUUUCCAGUGUAUUGUCGCAGUCUGUUUCACUAAGCUAAUUUUUACAAAGAAAAUACCAGCUCGGCCGUUCCUCUUCUUCCUUUUUGAGGGUUUUGUUAUACAAAAAUCGUGUAAAGUUGGUUCUAUUUGAAACUUUCGAGAUAAAAAUUCUUUUGAAAAGUUUUAACAUUAAACUCAACGGAAUUACUCGAAAAUAAGUUUGAAAUAAGGUAAUUAAAAAGUACCAUGUUGAUAGCGAAAAUGUAGGUAGAUACCUAUCUUUGAAUAUUUUGUUGCGACGUUGUAAGAGUUCACAUCUUAACGGGUCGGUAAUGUAUUACAAAUAUAUUAUUUUAUUUGCUAAUACCGUUUGCUAAAACUCGGGCCGCGUAAGUACUCUUAAGACACCCAAAUAAACACUAAUGGCUGAAAAAUCUGAAAAAGCUGUGUAAAGUCUCGAAUAUGUAGAUCUGAAAACCUCGUUAUUUGCUCAAAAAACGGAGCACUUUCGGUGUGACAGUUUUUCCAAGUUCACCUCCCAUUUUUUGUUGACUUAACACUUAACAAAGCACUGUACCGCACCGUGCUUGACAUUCUGAACGCUUUGUGCCAUUUUGCGUGUUCAAAUCGAGUUUUCCAACUAUUUUCUACGUAUUUAUGAGUGUUGGAAGUUUGGACAAAGAAGUUGAUUUCAUUUGCUCGGGAGCGCGCUGCCAAGCUGUGAUAACGAAUGAGAAGCAUUAUUUUACUUCGGAAUUCUGGGACUCUCACAAAAGCUAGGAAUAGUUAAGUGAAUAGAAUAUUUGAUAUUUUCUGACUAGUGUGUUAAAAUGUUUGUAAUGUUUUAUUAUAAUAUACUGUUGUGGCAAUAAACCUAUUUCAAGAAUUAUUGGGGAAGUGCUAUGGACCAGUGGUAAGUACAUGUUUGUCUAAGUAUCUAGUUGAUUACUUUUAAUGUAAAACAAAAACCAACAUGUCAAUAUUUAAUACUAGCUUAUGCCAGCGGCUUCGUCCGCGUUCCGUUGGGAUAAAAAUUAGCUAUGUGUGUGUUCCAAAUUUUGGCGGCAAGGUAAAACAAACAUAGAAAAUUUCGCAUUUAUAAUAUUAGUAGAAUUAGCGUAAGUAUAGUUAAAGAGGUGUGAGUGUAAGGCAGUCGUUGUAAAACGUAACAAUAUUGUUUGUGGUCUGCGCGGUAACCGUGUUUUUAGACACGGGUGAUUAAGUGGUAGAGGACAACGUGUGAACUACUUCUCUCGUGACAUGUCCAGUAGCCCAGUGGAGACAUGUGCAGACAAUUACAGUCGACGCCAUCUUCGUACUCCCGUGUAAAUUGUUCAGUGUAAUGGUUGUCUGCCGACAUUUUGGUUGUUGGACGAAAGAAGCUUUGCGAUAAUUUGAUCUGCUAUCAAAAUAAUAUCUGGGGGCACGGCAGUGCCCCCGCCAAGUCGAGCAAAAAAAAAGCGGCACGGCCGUACCAUUCUUUUCUCGAAGCAAUUCGGGCCUUUUUCGACCCCCUAUAAUUUGGUUGUGGAUAAAGCAAGAAACCUGAAUCUUCAGUAACUAAUCCGGCAUUGUAUAAACACGGAAUAUUUAAAAUUUCAGUCAAUUUGAACCAGUAGUUUAAGAAUGACAACUUGUUAAAGUUUCUAAAUUUUGUCACUCACUGACUCACCGAUCAUCAAAAGUCCAAGGCACUUCUAGCAGACUUAGAAGCUUCAUAUUUGGAAUACAUAUAGAGUUUAGUGUCUUAAUCAUGGGAAAACUUAAAUAUUUUGUAAUUUCGGUCCAGUUUUCCAAAUACACCAACUGCAUCAAUAACUUUGUAAUCCCAUAUAAAUAUAUGGGAUUACAAAGUUAUUUAUGCAGUUGGUGGUUGGUGGUGGUUAUAAAUUUAAUAGGUGUAGAUAGGUACCUACCAUACCAUAAUAAAAGGCAUAUAUUACCAUACCAUAAUUAUGGCUAAACUAAAAUUGAGACAUCAAAGCCUCCGAGAAAAGCCCAUAGAGACAGGGAGUGGGCUUUGAGAAAAACUGUGGCUGAAGCUCAAGAAGUAGUACCGGAAAAGAAAAAGAGGAAGACUACAUAUAAAAAUAAGAAAAUAUCAUAAGACCUUUAACAAAAUUCGUUAGAAGUAGAUGGUAUCAAAAAGAAAGGCUCUACAAAAAGAAGUGAGAUCCCAUCAAAAACAUCCUGUAAAAAACCCAAGUCUCGCAGCUCAGUCUUUCUACCGUCAAAAGUUGUGAGAUCCAUGUAAUACCAAGUCGGUUAAUCUAUUUAGUGUCUACUUGAAGGACCUUCUGUCUUAAGUUAUUACAUAAGUUAUUAUCAUGCCAAUAUUAAAAAUAUUUAACGUUUUAAACAAAUAGAUCGACUUGGACAUCGCAUGAAAACAAAAUGAAUAUUACAAUAUUAUAUUAGAUUCUUUAGUCUCUCGCGCCUCACGCGAUUGAAACUCUCGUUCCUGUUGGUCGCUGGCCCGUCGUGCUGUGUAGUGUGAUACAUACUAAUAAUCAAAUCAAGCGAUGUCCAAGUCGAUCUAUUUGUUUAAAACGUUAAAUAUUUUUAAUAUUGGCAUGAUAAUAACUUAUGUAAUAACUUAAGACAGAAGGUCCUUCAAGUAGACACUAAAUAGAUUAACCGACUUGGUAUUACAUGGAUCUCACAACUUUUGACGGUAGAAAGACUGAGCUGCGAGACUUGGGUUUUUUACAGGAUGUUUUUGAUGGGAUUAAAUUAUACUGCACGGCUGCAGCGCAACAUGUCUCAAUCUCGGUAUUAUAUAUAUUAUAGUUCAUAGAACAAUAUUGCUUGUGUGUUGUGCAUUUGAAAUACGAGUACCAUUGGAAAACCCAGAGCGACGGGCUCUCACUUGUUUUACUUACCUAAAGAUAUUUUUUAGACUUGAUUCUGUCUGACUAAAAUAGUUUAUUUCUUAUUUCUAUCUUCUACACAAAAUAUACACAAUAUCAUACAAAAUAUAUAAAACACAAUUAGCUGUCUUAUACAACGUAUCUCGAGUAUAUUAUUGAGGCUCUGCUGCCAAUCGCCCCCUGUAACCCCCAGGCAGCUCAUCAAGUCGAGAUGAAUCUCUUGCGGUGAUUAGGGGAUUCGUAUUCUCUGUGCUUAUAUCUCCUUUACCUGUUUCGCGACAUGUUUUAUAAAGGGUUAAUUUAUUCGGACGCAGAGUUGAAGUUUGUUGAAAGGAAAAUCCAUACAAAUCAGGUCCGACUCGUUGGUGCGAACGCAUUUGCACAAAUACACCCGCGUGCUUUUUAAAUCUCCGAAGUAAUGUGUGCAUUACGAGAUAAAGUUGUUUUUAUGUUAAUAACUAAUUUGAACUUCGAUGCACUUCGAAUCUGCACCCGUAUAAACUGACCCACUGGCCAACAUAAAUGAGAAACGUUGUGUUGGUAUGAAGGGUUAUUAAGGUUUGGAAAAAAAUGUAUUAAAUAGAUAUUUAUGAAACCAUGGUUUGAUUAUUUAUAACAUAUCAUGCAUAAUAUCAUUCAUAAUAAUUCCUAACCCUCCUGGCGCAGUCGGGUAAUAAGACUGCCUCGUUGGCCGAGUGGUUGCAAGUGCGACUGCCGGGUGAGGGGUAGCGGGUUCGAUUGCCGGGUCGGGCGGAGUAUUACUGGAUUUUUUUCGGUUUUUCGAAACUUUCUCAGUGGUAGCACGGAGUCUGAAAACGUGCCCGGUAUAUGACAAAAGGGCUCACCACCUAUUACAUGGGACUUAAAACACAAUAGGAGAAAUGUGGGUGUAUAUUGGCAUUACGUGUCAUAAUGUGCACCUAUGCCUACCCCUUCGGGGAUUAGAGGCGUGACGUUAUAAAAAAAAAUCGGUCAUAAUACAAGUUAUCGUUUAUACCAUUUUAAUGUGCGCCACGUGGCAUCUAAUCUCAAUGUUGACAAAUACACAGGCUGUCCCGAAAUCUCCCCCCGUCCUUAAACGUAUACAAUCUGACAGUAACCAGUGCUUAGUGACAGAUGUUACGCAGGUGUUACCAGAACCACCACUUGGCACUUUGCCUGCCUCAUUCGUUGCCCCUCAUGGACAUUCCACGACAGUGUCGGUAGUAAACAGCUGAGUAGCACCUUCACCUAAUGUCAAUGUAAUAUUUUAUCCCUACCGACUGUGUUUAUGAUUACUGAAGUUAAUAUAAUAUGGCUGCAGUCUACCAGCUAUUAAUACCCUGAUGGAGUUCCACAUAUUUCUAUUCAUAGACCAUAAUCUGAUUAGUCCGUGACCAAACUUGCGAUCAAAUUGUAUUUCCUAAUUCGAUGAUGGCAUUAAACUUAUUUAGAUACAACCGUUUCGGAUCGUUAGGCGGACUAUUUUAGUUUUGAAAUGUUGAAAAUUUUGUCAAUACAUUUGCAUUUCCUUAAAACUUUUUGAUUGUAUUUUCAUGUUGAUAGGUGCUUUCGAGGUUUGUUCAAUGUAAAAAGAAAUACUUCAUACUUGGAUAAAAUCUCGAGUUAAUAAACUCUAUAAAACACUUACACGUAGUGUUAGAUAUCUAUAGUGUAUAGUAUAGUUAUUAAUGUAAUUAUCUUUUGUGCACAUAAUCUGGUAGAUGGCUGAAGAAGUUAUUAGCGAAAGCCAAUGCAUCAACUUACAAAUUGUCCAAUACAUUUGAUCUGUUAUUUCGAGAAACAUUAAUUAAAACGUACCCAGCACCGAAUUUCGAUUAAUUCGCACCAUUUAUAUUUAUUUUAAUGGUUCUGUCUUUUAGUCGGGACGGAUAAUUGACUAUCAGGCUGCAUACCACGGAGCUCGGGGCUCAGGAGACAAGCAGGCGCGAGUUCCACUGACAAGCGACUGGGCCACUAAUACCACAGCUAAUACUGACGACACAUUUUUAUAUGGUUUAUUUCUGUCUGCGCUAUUUUGUUCUCAAACUUAGCUUCAACAUUUUUGACAUCUCUGUCUACCUCUGUUUGUUGUGUUACCUUUAUGACAUUAUUUUUGAGGAGGGACAAAUCAUAAAAUGGCUCUUCUCGCCAUGCGUGAGGCGUGAAGAAGUGUCAGACUCUGGAAAACCAUCCCUUUCCAAUUCCUGCCCCGUGCUAGGCCGCUCUAACUUAUUACUUUAGUCACUGACUGAAAAUUCCUGAGUAAUCCUGUACGGAGCGACUCGCGCCCGAAUGAGCCAACACCGUCACUGGUGUCCGCAGAAAGCCACGAAUAUGCCAGGAAAGUAUAGUUACUUUCCUGAUUAACGCCCACGCUUAGUUCAAUUUCGAUAAUACGAAAUUCUGAUGAAGAAAUAUUAACUUAAAUCUGCCGACAGCCCAGCCACUGUGCCAUGACCACUGUACAAGACUAAAUCUUAUUUCAACUAGAUUAGCAAUCAUUAUUCCUCGUUAGGCAUUGGCCUAUAUGGUAUCGAAAUAAAGUAACAUAAAGUCUAAACUACUAAAUUAAAAAUAUGAUUUAAAAUAGCUUGAUAACUAAUCUUGCCUUGCAAACACCUUGUCUUGCCAUGCCAUGCCGUACCGGCGCGGCGGUGAGCGCUAGCACUAAAAUUCAGAUUUAGCAAAUGAAGGUACUUAGAGGAGGGUCAAAAAGAUAUCAAAAGAGGGUCAGAACCCAUCGACUGCUAUGUGCUUUAAAGAUCCUAAGGUAUAUUCAGUAUUGGCGUUAUAAGUUAAAUAUUUUCUUAAAGAAAGCGCGUUGCCACAAGCACUGUCUUGUAUUCAAAGACAAAAGCUGAAUAUAUGAACAAAAAGCAAAUUAAAAACCCGGCAAACUUUCCAUCCGCGGUUUCAUUAAAGCAAGAAUUUGUAAUUAAUCUGUUUUAAUAGGCAUUUGCGUUUUACAACCGGUUCCACUGAAUCACGAUGGUUGUGGUUGAACACAGAGCUGAUGCUAAAUACUUCGAUUUUUUCUUUGUGAAGGGGCAAAAGCAUCCAAUGACUCAUCCAUCCCUCUCCCGCCUUGGGCGAGGCGAGAGAGAGUGUCAGACUCUUACUGACUAAGAACCACCCCGAUCCUACUCCUGCUUUUUAACCGUAGCCCCGGUAACCCGUUAGGGACUGGGAGGCUGCAGAUUGCAGCCCUGGACGAAUACUUAGAUAUAAUAUAACAAAAUAGAUACAAUGAUGAUGAUUUCUUACACAUUAUUUACAUACAACUAUUUCUUCGGUCAGAAUAUAAGCAUUGCCAUUCAACGUGGCAAUGCGGCCAGUCUUCUGGGAACAUUCCCCAGUGACAGCGAUGCGGACAAGUACGACACAUAACGAGAAUUUUUAUUUUAUUUUUUCUUUAUUUUAGUUUUAAGUAAGUUUUUAUUCCUUUUUUUAGGUAUUUUUAAGAUAUAACAAAUAUUUCAAAUAAAACGUGAUUGAUUAUUAUUUCAAAGUGACUCGUGUUUGCAAACCAACAGUAAGGCUUUGAAGGCCAGGUGUGACACACCUGGUGCUUCGUUUUAAUUUAAAUCUUGGAUUUGGCAAACUCUUAAUGAGGUUGAUAUCAACUUAAUUAAUUUAUGUAAACGGUAAUCAAAUUCACAAUAUCAAAUUACCAAAACCACAACGUGUUACAAGUCAAAAGACUUAACGAGGUGUGGCGUCAUCGCAGUGGACAACAAAACAGCUCGAGUAUGCGAUGUAUCGAUAGUAAGGAAGUCAUCCAUAUCACGCAUCUUUCCAUAUAGAAAAAAUAGCUUAGCUGAGUCCGUUUCCACCCUUGCUAAGCUAUGUGUACCAAUGAAUAUGAUUGGUGGAAGCUAAACGCAUCCAAAGCAACGUAGCAUAGCACAUCCCUGGUGGAAAAACACCUUCAGUCUGGUAUUAAAAGGUAGUGUUUAUAUCUAGACACAAUUUUAUGAAAUUACUCAAAUUACAAUACACAUGGGCACUUGCACUAAACAUUAUACAUAUGUAAUAUAAAAUAAUAAUAAAGUAAAUAGCUCUCUGGAGUCCUAACCACCGGUAGCUUGGACCACGCUCCCGCUACUGGUGGGCUCCUAUUUUUAUAUUUUCGAAUCAAAUCGCACCUAAUCUUACUUUGGAGAGAUCCCCAUCUCCAAAGUCUAGGCAAAUUUAAUAGAAAAUUUAAAAAAAACCUCACGUAAUUUAUGGACACCUCCUUACUACCUAAUUAUGCCUUUGACUGCCGAUAGACUACUGUUAAAGGCAAAUCCUUCGCUAACGUUAGCGUGGCAGUUAACAUUUAGCGAACGCCAAUAAUAGAAUUAAAGGAUGCACUUACAACGCAAUUAAAGGAUGCACAGCACGAUGACGGAAUUCCAAAAUGACUGAUAAAACGAAAUGUAUUGUUAUGAAUCUUGGGCGCGCGCCUCCGGCGAUUCACACAUUCCCGGGCGGCCGGCGCGCGACCUGACAUCCCGCGCCCGGCGGGCGGUGGCCAGUGUGUCAGUGCUCGUCCCGCCGCAGCCGCCGCACCAUGGCCGCCGCCCUCUCCAGCUCCGUGUGCGUGCUGCUGGCCGUGCUGCCGCUGCCGCCGGUCGAGGUGAGUACACAGUCACACCCACCGCUACACUCACACACGAGCGCUCGAACUAAACCGGGGGCGUUUGUUGCAGGCGGCAGUACCAGGCACGUUCUUUUGGAAGCCAGCAAUGGAUCUUGACCUUCGAAAACAAAUAAACCCUGCGUAUAAGGUACCAUGGAUUUACAAACCCACCCAGACCAAUGUUGAGUAUAACAAGCAAAUGGUUGUAAUUGUCGACGGUUACAGAUUAACGACCACCUUUAUGGCGUUAUACAUCUAUGUUGAUUACAUGAACGAAGCUUACCCGGCGCUGCAUCCCUGCUACGCGGAGUUCUGGACCAACUCGUACCGCUGGUUGAUCCGCUACAUGAGUCUGUUACCAGAUUGGAUACAUGGCAGAUCAAACAACUUCGUGGACACGCACAAAGUAUGGAGGAAGCGCUUCUACUAUAUGGAUUGGUGGAUGCCAAAGUGGGCACGCCCAUUCUUUUUCUGUGUCCCCCCCGAAUCCUGGGCUUGGGAGAAAUUCACAUUUAGAAGAUGGCUCAGAUACGUUGAGCCGCAAUUUGGAAAGUACUACAAAUACCCUUCGAAGUGGUUUACAGACUGGAAGUCUAUGCAGAUGGGAUCAACCGUCGAAAACUUGGAUAUGAGCUCUGCCUCCUUGCAGUAGUGUGGGUGUACGGACCUUCAUUUGUGCAUAUUUGUUCUUACAAAUAAUACGUAAGGGCGUAUACAGAUGCCGCCACCGCGACCUUUAUUGUCCUUCACUUUGCUGGCUUCUAAGGAGCCUGGAGCUUGUCUCCUUGCCACCAGCAAAGUAAAUAUUACUCACAACUGUACGGUGGGUUGGGCAAAUAUUUCUGAUUUAUUUCUAUGUCUCUCUAUCCAAGACAGUUGUUCAAUUAUUCAUUCAACUCGCAAAGAGAAAACAUGUAAAUGUAUCUUUGGCUUCCCAAACGUUUAAUGAGUUUAUUUUUAUAUGAUGUAUUAGUUGGAAUUGUCAGUAUACAGUACAGUAUACAUAUUAAAUGUGAACGCUAUGUUAGAAACGAUAGAGGACUUUUCUACCGUAGUACCUCUCCCAUUUAUUUAUUACUUAUUAUACCGUUGUGCGCCCCUUUGCCACUGCUAUGUGCAUACAUUUGCGUACAAUAAUGGAUCAAAUAAUCUAUCAAUGAGAUUGUAAAACAUAUAUUUUAUAAAAGAGUGAACGAAACGAAAUUACAUUUGAGAACGAGUAUUUGGCUACACACUGACGAACAUACUGACAGACUCUUCUAUUUUUCACCCUCGACGCAAAAAGUGGGGUGUUAUAAGUUUGACGUUUUCUGAUAAUUAGUAUCAUAUAUUUAUAUAAUUACUGAGAUUUCACGUAAUUUUAUUGUAACUUUCGUGAGACAUACUAAAUUAAUUAUUAUGUUACCCAUGCUAGAGGCUCAUAUUCAUGAGCAGCAUUCCCCGACACACGAUGCGGCGAUUGUCGCGCUGCUACUCCGAGAUUUAAUGUUUUUACGGCGAUGAAUAGGUUGCUUAUGGGCAGACGUGCUCGAUCGUGGGCCGCAUCAUCAAUUACCAUCAGGCAAGAUAGCAGCCAAACGUCGACCCCUCAAAUGUAAAAAAAAAGAUUCCUUGUCGAAAUACUAAGUACUUACAAUACCCUAUGAUACCUCUUCUAGCUUCGUAGAAGUGUGAUUAUUGCAGUUUUGAAUCGGCACUGAGGCAUGAUUUUGUCGCGGCGAUCGAAUAUCUGGUUGCUCUUUUUGUGAGCAGAUUGUGUAUCUAGUGUUAUAAUUGAUCGAAGAUAUUACCUAAUAUUAAUAUAAUGUGUAUGUACCUACAAAAAGUAUAAAAUAAAAACACAUAUAAAGAAUCCCCGAAGCUCCUUAAUUGUGUAGCAAGUUGCUUUGGAGCGGUUCUCCAACGAAAAAUUUUCCUUUUUUAAAGGAAGCUCAAGAAAUUAUUUUAAGGGUAGGAUCUUUUAUUUUAUACUUUUUUUGCAAAGUGAGCCUGUAUGUUGUGUAAUCGAAUUAAAUGCUUUGAAUUUUACUUUUGAUUUUCAUUUUAGUGCGUAACCUAGAAUGUAUGGCUUUGUUACUUUGGUAUCUUCACUCAGACGAUGAAACACAAAGUAUGCGUUGUGUACACUGGUCUUCUGUGAGCUCCAAUUUCAACGUAGGUAGGCACAAUUGUCAUUGCAGUUACUAUCCAUUUAUACUCUAUCGAAGAAAAUGUAGAAGAUAGAACUUAAUUGUGUAUGUAGGUAAGUAGAUUAGGGACCUCAACUAAGUACGUAGCAUUUGUAGAGUACCAGGUACCAGGCCCAAAGUUUUCAUGGUCAAGGGCCAUUUUUAUAUCAUUCUAGUUUGGCUAGGGACAAGUAUUACUAUAAUAUUUUAAUGACUGGUAUUCCCCAGAGCCAUGGGAUUCGUUAUUAUGGAAAAUAGUAACUUUUGGAUUAUUGAAGGUAGCUGCUCCUUUCAGUGAUCGCCUUUGACAUAAGUUUAAUUCUAGCUUUGAACGUGGUAUUUAUUGGGCAGCGGUGAUUAUUAUGUUAAUUUUUUAAUUUCUCGAAUCAUAAUCCGUCUUCUGCGGACUAGUUUUUUUUUUUUAUGAGACAUGCCGGUAAUCGAGCAGACGUUUUACCUGAUGGUAAGCAAUCGCCGCUGCCCAUGGACACUUGAAACACCAGGGGCGUUACAAGUGCUUUGCCGGCUUUUUGGAAGUUAGGAAUUUAAGGGUUGUUGUUCGAGAAUGGGGAUGGGGAAGAUUGGGAAGGGGGGAAUUGGGCCUCCGGUAACCUCAUACAACGAAACACAACGCAAGCGUUGUUUCACGUCGGUUUUCUGUGAGUGGUUAGGAACCCCUGCUUGUUGACUAAUGUUUGGCUGUUGAUGACACUGUUAAUUUGGUUUAAUACAUAAAGUUUGUCAGUGUUCAUUGUUGUGAACACUUUAUACUGCUUAUGUGUGAAUGUGCAGUUUGAGGAUAUUUUACCUACACGAUUUUAUCAAGAAUUUAACUACAGCUCUUCCUUGGUAACUUGACGACACCCUAGGACCUGGCUGACCCGUCCAGUUAUUGACAAGUUAAUGUCCUAAUUGUGUAUCUUCAACAUCAAUCUUUUUAUCAGUUCUUUCUUUCAUUUGGUGAUCAUCUUCCUUCCGUAUGCCAUCGUGUUUCUGAAUAAAAAAAAAAAAACAGUACAAGAAUUACUAGAUAGAUAACACUUGCUUUUACUUGAAACUGAAAUUAUCGGAGUUGAAUGCCCAACUUGUCAACACCAAGUAAAAACAUUACACCUACAGUUUUUGACGCUAAAAUUAAAUGUGUAGUUGUAUUAACUUGUGGGGAUGAAAAAUAUUUGAAAUUAAAUAUUUACUUACGUGAUUGGUACGAUUUUGCAAAUGUCGACGCCACUCGUUCCCCUGGGCGCGCGGCCGGAGUGUUGUCUGUGCGACCAGAGGACGCAAUCCUUGCACGCAGUCAGUAUUAUUGUUGGUUAGCCUACACCCUAUGGGCAACCAGCCCCGGUCUACCCAGGUCUACCAGCGUGGAUGAUCUGUAAAAAACUAGCUACUUCCGCCCGGUUUCACCCGACGCUAGGUUCCUAUUGAAAGCAUCGUGAUGUUUGAUCGCCUUCUUCAGUAAAUGGAUAUUAUAGUGGAAAUUUUGAAAAACAACAAGUUUUGAGAUGUUUUACAUAGUAGAUGGUUAAUAGGAAGAUGUUACAAGUCUUUAGGCGAAACCGCCCAUUGAUUGCACUUCUGUUGUCAAAAAAUAUUUAUUUUGAAAUUUACACACAUGACUUUACAGCUUAUGUAACCUUAUAACUAUUAUUAAGUGUAAGUGUACAUCCAGUGUUCCUACAUUUAGUACAAAAUACGCAAAAAAAACUUCAGAUUUACUAGGUAUGUACCUACUUUUAAAGUAAUAAAGCUAAGUACAUAAUACUUUAAAGAAAUACUAUUAUCAUGUUUUCUUUAUGAACUCUUAGACUAGACGUGAGAUGACGGGGUGUGGACGACUGGUCGGUUGCCCCCACACUGCGCCAACCGUAUAAUCCAAAUAUUUAAACUUCCAUUUUAGCUUAAACUUUUAGACCUCGUGCUAUCAUCAACGUAUUCCCAUGUUUCGUCUGGCCUCAUAGAUUUGUAAUUAUUGAAGACCUUCGAAGGGUAUAUAAAGAAUUUACCCCACUGUGGCUGGGUGUAUCUGACGAACUUUCUCCAAACCCACUCUUCUUUCUUGAAGGUAGCAGGAUCUACGCAUAACUUAAUUAAAAAGGGUCGUAAAACUUGAGGCACCAUUCUGUCCAUGUACCAGUAGCGCUUCCUCCACACCUUGUGCGUGUCUAUGAAGGUACCCCUGCCGAACGCCCAAUCUGGA